rnacentral:rRNA from 1 species
GACGAACGCUGGCGGCGUGCCUAAUACAUGCAAGUCGAACGCAGUGGGGACGGGUGAGUAACACGUGGGUAACCUCCCAUCAGAGGGGAUAACACUUGGAAACAGGUGCUAAACCGAUAUUGAUGGAUGGACCCGCGGUGCAUUAGCUAGUUGGUGAGGUAACGGCUCACCAAGGCCACGAUCUCUAGCUGGUCUGAGAGGAUGAUCAGCCACACUGGGACUGAGACACGGCCCAGACUCCUACGGGAGGCAGCAGUGGGGAAUCUUGCACAAUGGGCGCAAGCCUGAUCGAGCAAUGCCGCGUGUAUGAAGAAGGCCUUAGGGUUGUAAAGUACUUUCGGCGGGGAGGCGUUACCUGCAGAAGAAGCACCGGCUAACUCCGUGCCAGCCGCCGCGGUAAUAC